CAAUAGCGUAUAUUAAAGUUGUUGCAGUUAAAAAGCUCGUAGUUGGAUUUCUGGUGGGAGCGAUCGGUCUGGCGCUUAGCGCGAGUACUUGCAUCGUCUCCGGCCAUCCUUGGGGAGAGUCUGUCUGGCAUUAGGAUGUCGGGCAGAGGAUCCUCAUCGUUUACUGUAAAAAAUUAGAGUGUUCAAAGCAGGCUUAUGCCGUUGAAUAUAUUAGCAUGGAAUAAUAAGAUAGGACUUUGGUACUAUUUUGUUGGUUUGCGCACCAAAGUAAUGAUUAAUAGGGACAGUUGGGGGUAUUCGUAUUCCGUUGUCAGAGGUGAAAUUCUUGGAUUUACGGAAGACGAACUACUGCGAAAGCAUUUACCAAGGAUGUUUUCAUUAA
rnacentral:rRNA from 1 species